GAUGAACGCUGGCGGCGUGCCUAAUACAUGCAAGUCGAGCGAACGGACGAGAAGCUUGCUUCUCUGAUGUUAGCGGCGGACGGGUGAGUAACACGUGGAUAACCUACCUAUAAGACUGGGAUAACUUCGGGAAACCGGAGCUAAUACCGGAUAAUAUUUUGAACCGCAUGGUUCAAAAGUAAAAGACGGUCUUGCUGUCACUUAUAGAUGGAUCCGCGCUGCAUUAGCUAGUUGGUAAGGUAACGGCUUACCAAGGCAACGAUGCAUAGCCGACCUGAGGGGGUGAUCGGCCACCCUGGAACUGAGACACGGUCCAGACUCCUACGGGAGGCAGCAGUAGGGAAUCUUCCGCAAUGGGCGAAAGCCUGACGGAGCAACGCCGCGUGAGUGAUGAAGGUCUUCGGAUCGUAAAACUCUGUUAUUAGGGAAGAACAUAUGUGUAAGUAACUGUGCACAUCUUGACGGUACCUAAUCAGAAAGCCACGGCUAACUACGUG
rnacentral:rRNA from 1 species